CCUACGGGAGGCAGCAGUGGGGAAUAUUGGACAAUGGGGGGAACCCUGAUCCAGCGACGCCGCGUGAGUGAAGAAGUAUUUCGGUAUGUAAAGCUCUAUCAGCAGGGAAGAAAGCAAUGACGGUACCUGACUAAGAAGCCCCGGCUAACUACGUGCCAGCAGCCGCGGUAAUACGUAGGGGGCAAGCGUUAUCCGGAUUUACUGGGUGUAAAGGGAGCGUAGACGGCGAUGCAAGUCUGAAGUGAAAGGCGGGGGCCCAACCCCCGGACUGCUUUGGAAACUGUAUGGCUGGAGUGCAGGAGAGGUAAGUGGAAUUCCUAGUGUAGCGGUGAAAUGCGUAGAGAUUAGGAGGAACACCAGUGGCGAAGGCGGCUUACUGGACUGUAACUGACGUUGAGGCUCGAAAGCGUGGGGAGCAAACAGGAUUAGAUACCCUGGUAGUC
rnacentral:rRNA from 1 species